rnacentral:rRNA from 1 species
AGAACGAACGCUGGCGGCAUGCCUAAUACAUGCAAGUCGAACGAACACUUCGGUGUUAGUGGCGCACGGGUGCGUAACGCGUGGGAAUCUGCCCUUGGGUUCGGAAUAACAGUUGGAAACGACUGCUAAUACCGGAUGAUGACGAAAGUCCAAAGAUUUAUCGCCCAGGGAUGAGCCCGCGUAGGAUUAGCUAGUUGGUGAGGUAAAGGCUCACCAAGGCGACGAUCCUUAGCUGGUCUGAGAGGAUGAUCAGCCACACUGGGACUGAGACACGGCCCAGACUCCUACGGGAGGCAGCAGUAGGGAACAUUGGACAAUGGGCGCAAGCCUGAUCCAGCAAUGCCGCGUGAGUGAUGAAGGCCUUAGGGUUGUAAAGCUCUUUAGCCGGAUGAUAAUGACAGUACCGGAGAAUAAGCUCCGGACUAACUCCGUGCCAGCAGCCGC